AUGGACCAAGGCAGGGCACUCGAGUCCUCGGACAUGACGGCGGCAGCGGCUCGCGGUCCUCCCUCAAACUCGCUGACCUCGCUCGUCUCCUCGCCGCGCGUCUCCCCACCCCCACCAGCCGCCGCCGCGCCCCCACCAAUCGUCUCUCAACAGCCACGGGUCGGACGGCGCCCGGGCGCGGGGUCACCGCGCGGCAGAGCGGCGGGGGCUCGGAGCUCCGGCGGACCUCGCCUCUUGCUCCUCUGUGUCCGGCACUGCCCGGCCCAGCCCACGUCCUGUCCUCGGCCUCCGCAGCACCAGCGAAAGAAGCUUCGCCUGGGCCCGGCCCCUCAGUCCCGCCCUCACCCCAGCCCCACGCACGGGCCAAACUUUCCCUUCUCCCUCCACCUGCCGACACGCAGCGCGCUGACGUCACCGCGCCGGUCACGCCCCACCUCGGCCCCGCCUCCGGCCGCCAUAUCCAGUGUGGCUGACUAUAAAGUGAGCGAGCUAGAAACCCGAAAAGGGAGGAGAGGGAUGGGAUCGACGUAUCCGAAAGGAGCUAAAUCUGAUGCUGUGAGCAAUCUACCUGAGGAGGAGAUCAUCUUCCAAUGUUCAAAGGGGCCUGGGCCCCAGAAUUGGCACUAUUUUCCUGGUGAAUGGCAGUGGACCCCAUCCAGCAGGCAGUGAAGACAUUAUCCUCCUAUGAUGGGUCACCUGGUCUCUCUUAGACGGAGUUUCGCUCUUCUUACCCAGGCUGGAGUGCAAUGGCGCGAUCUCCGCUCACCGCAACCUCCGCCUCCUGGGUUCAAGCAACUCUCCUGCCUCAGCCUCCCGAGUAGCUGGGACUACAGGCUGUACCACCAAGCCCAGGCAGGGCCUCAUUCUACUGCCCAAGCUAUAGUGCAGUGGUGCAGUCUUGGCUCAUGGCAACCUUUAUCUCCUAGGCGAUCUUCUCACCUCAACCUCCUGAGUGUCUGGGACUACAGGUACAUGCCACUAUGCCUGGCUAAUUUUUGUAUUUUUUGUAGAGACAGGGUUUUGCCGUAUAGCCCAGACUGGUCUGUAAUUCCUGGGCUCGAGCAAUCCACCCACCUCAGCCUCCCAAAGUACUGAGAUUAUAGACAUGAACCACCACACCAGGCCCUCGUCUGUAUAUCUUCUUUGGAGAAACAUGUGUACAGUCUUUCGCCCAUUUUUGAGUCAGGUUGUUUGUUUCUUUUGUUGAGUUGUUAGAGUUUUUUAUGUAUUCCAAAUAUUAACCCCUUAUAUGAGGGGUUAUAUAGCCCUAUAUUAUAUUAUUACCCAAUUAUGUAUUUAUAUAUAUUUGGGGUUAACCUUAUAUAAGGGUUAAUAUUUGGAAAAUAUAUAUAAAUACAGUAGCUUUUGUCUCAUGGUCUAUCUGCUGCCAUGUCCUGGCUCCUGAGCCACCUGGAUGCUGUAGUCUCCCCAGCCUUGCCCUUAUGUAAGGUUAAUUAACCCCUUAUAUAAGGUUAAUAUUUGGAAAAUAUAUAUAAAUAAGUAAUUGGGUCAUAAUAUAAAUUUGGAAUAUAUAUAAAUAUAUAGUUGGGUCAUAAUAUAAAUAUGAGCCAAUAUUGUCUUUUUACAAUUGGUCUGUUUGAAACAGCAUCCAGCAAAGUCAUACUAUAUUAGUACAUUUGAUUGUUACGACCCAAGUCUUAUCUAAUCUAGAGGAAAUUCCUAUCCCUAAUUUUCUCCCUGGACAUUGACUUGUGGCAGAAUACAGGUCCAUCAUCAUGCAGAAUCGCAGUUUUGAAUUUCAACUUUGCUGCUCUCCAAAGUUUCCUGCUUUGCCUUUGAUAAUUUUAGCAGGUUUUCUGUGGGUAACACCCCUUAGGGCACUGAGGAAGGAGAACUGUGCAGACCCCAGGCAUAGUUAGUGCCUGAAACAUAACUCACUGCUUACUAUAUCUAGCAUAUAUAUAUAAUCAUACUUAGUCCCAUAUAAUCUUUCUAUAUAAUCAUAUAGGUAUUGUAGUCAGAGCUGAACUGACACAUUUAGUGCUGAUUUACAUAAUCCUUCCAUAUAACUUUACAGUAGUUUGUAGUAGGAGGAAUGCCUAGAGCAGUCACAGAACAGAAGCAGUACAUGGGAAAACAGCCAGGCCAGGACAAGAACCAAAGACCCAGGCCAUGGCUUCCCUGUCUGAAAGGACGUACUCCAUAUGGCAGGCUUGGAGCAAGAGCCUCUCCUCCUGAUAAAGAAGUUGUAGUGCCUUGCAUCCAGUUCCUGUGGAAAGUAGGCCUCAGGCCUGAGAUCCUGGAAAUAACCGAGGGAGAAGAACUCCUCUGGUGUGACCAGGCAUGGAGGCUGUACACCCUGUCAGUCUUUUCUCACUUCUGUGCUAGCUCAAAUCAUCCUCCCAUAAAUAUCUUAAGAGAGGAGCACAAGUCUGUCAGCUCCCACUGCAUUGGCUUACAGUAUCCUUCUAUUGGAAAUCCUUUGAAGUCUCCAGCCCCCAGAUAAGAAGUGUUGUGCAUGACACCUGUUGCACACAGCCCACCUCCUUGCCUCAGUGACCUAAUGGGGGUGAACUCCUUUUCUGUACCGAACCCUCUACUACUGCACACAGCAUGGCCCCCUACUGUGCAUGGCCCACCUCUCUGCCCAGGUGACAUAAUGAGGUGGCCCCCUCACUUGUGACUCAUGUGAUUAUGUAUGCCCUAUUAUUAAGCCUGUAGAUGAUGACCUCACUGACGACCCUGCCCCCUGCUUGUACCUAAGAAAUACAGACACUUCUGGGCAUUCAGAGCUCUCACUGAUCUCCACUCACAGGUUGCGUGGCCCCCAAAGUCCAGCGGCUCUUCACCAGUUCUUCAGUGUCCUGUCUCUUUACUUCCCAGAUCCUGCACCUCAGCACAGCAUAAGGGACACCCCACGACCCUAUGGGGCCCAACAGCCCCACAAUUUUCUUUACUGAAAAAGGAAAGUUUCUCUUUUAAAUGCUCCUAGGAGACUAAAACUGAAAAUGAGAAGAGGAAGUUUUAUCUACAUUUGGGAACCCAGCUAAUGGGAAGGCAGACACUGGAGACAGGGAGGUAUGAGGAGUGUGAAGCUCAGAUGGGGUGGGGAGAGCACAUUUGGGUCAACAGCCUGGCCUGAGAGAAGAGAGUCUUAUCCCACAAGGGGACCAGCCCAGUACUGUGUCCCUAGCCAUGGGCGGCACAGGACAGAUCUGGGGGGCACUGCCAGGGCCACAGUGUGGCUCUCUUCCUGGAGAGAAAGCUUCAGCCUCAGGUGUUCUCUGAGUACACAGGGCCUUCCCAGGGGUCCCUGAGGGCACAGGGGCAAGGCUGGGGAGACUACAGCAUCCAGGUGGCUCAGCAGCCAGGACAUGGCAGCAGAUAGACCACUGAGACGAAAGCUACUGUCACUGACAAUGUCUGAGCGCUCUAAAAUGUCACUAGAGUUUCUCUCUGGGAUUAUUAUGGUUGAGUUUUUUUUCUUUAUAUUUUCCAAAUUCUCUUGAACAGUAAAAAAAGCAAUACAUUUUCUUUAAAAAUAGAUCAGUACCUUUAGGAUUAACAUAGAUAUGCCCAAAGAAGAUCAUUAGGAAUAACAGCACAAUCUCAGUGGCUGGAGUGUGGGGUCCUCCAGACUCUCUCUGGAGCCUGGAUCAGCCCUGGGCUAGGACCCAGAGGCAGUCUCCUGAAUAUCUGUAGCUGAGGGCAGUAUUCCUGGUUCUGCGUGCAACCCUGCUGAGGACUGAACCAUUGAGGAGGGGCCCAGCUUUCAGGAAGCCCCUGCCAAAUACGCUGGAACCCACCCAGUAGACCAGAUUCUCUUACCCACAUUACUGUUUCCAGACCUCUUCCACUCAUACACACAAACGUUCCCAA